GUAGGGUGCGAGCGUUAAUCGGAAUUACUGGGCGGUAAAGCGUGCGCAGGCGGUGAUGUAAUGACCGAUGUGAAAUCCCCGGGCUUAACCUGGGAACUGCAUUGGUGACUGCAUCGCUCGAGUAUGGCAGAGGGGGGUAGAAUUCCAACGUGUAGCAGUGAAAUGCGUAGAGAUGUGGAGGAAUACCGAUGGCGAAGGCAGCCCCCUGGGUCAAGAUUGACGCUCAUGCACGAAAGCGUGGGGAGCAAACAGG
rnacentral:rRNA from 1 species